rnacentral:rRNA from 1 species
UACAGAGGUCCCAAGCGUUGUUCGGAUUUAUUGGGCGUAAAGAGCGUGUAGGCGGCCAGGUAGGUCAGCUGUGAAAACUCGAGGCUCAACCUCGAGACGUCGGUUGAAACCACCUGGCUAGAGUCCGGAAGAGGAGAGUGGAAUUCCUGGUGUAGCGGUGAAAUGCGCAGAUAUCAGGAAGAACACCCGUGGCGAAGGCGGCUCUCUGGGACGGUACUGACGCUGAGACGCGAAAGCGUGGGGAGCGAACAGG